rnacentral:rRNA from 1 species
ACGGUAACAGGAAGAGCUUGCUUCUUCGCUGACGAGUGGCGGACGGGUGAGUAAUGUCUGGGAAACUGCCUGAUGGAGGGGGAUAACUACUGGAAACGGUAGCUAAUACCGCAUAACGUCGCAAGACCAAAGAGGGGGACCUUCGGGCCUCUUGCCAUCGGAUGUGCCCAGAUGGGAUUAGCUAGUAGGUGGGGUAACGGCUCACCUAGGCGACGAUCCCUAGCUGGUCUGAGAGGAUGACCAGCCACACUGGAACUGAGACACGGUCCAGACUCCUACGGGAGGCAGCAGUGGGGAAUAUUGCACAAUGGGCGCAAGCCUGAUGCAGCCAUGCCGCGUGUAUGAAGAAGGCCUUCGGGUUGUAAAGUACUUUCAGCGGGGAGGAAGGGAGUAAAGUUAAUACCUUUGCUCAUUGACGUUACCCGCAGAAGAAGCACCGGCUAACUCCGUGCCAGCAGCCGCGGUAAUACGGAGGGUGCAAGCGUUAAUCGGAAUUACUGGGCGUAAAGCGCACGCAGGCGGUUUGUUAAGUCAGAUGUGAAAUCCCCGGGCUCAACCUGGGAACUGCAUCUGAUACUGGCAAGCUUGAGUCUCGUAGAGGGGGGUAGAAUUGCAGGUGUAGCGGUGAAAUGCGUAGAGAUCUGGAGGAAUACCGGUGGCGAAGCUGGCCCCCUGGACGAAGACUGACGCUCAGGUGCGAAAGCGUGGGGAGCAAACAGGAUUAGAUACCUGGUAGUCCACGCCGUAAACGAUGUCGACUUGGAGGUUGUGCCCUUGAGGCGUGGCUUCCGGAGCUAACGCGUUAAGUCGACCGCCUGGGGAGUACGGCCGCAAGGUUAAAACUCAAAUGAAUUGACGGGGGCCCGCACAAGCGGUGGAGCAUGUGGUUUAAUUCGAUGCAACGCGAAGAACCUUACCUGGUCUUGACAUCCACGGAAGUUUUCAGAGAUGAGAAUGUGCCUUCGGGAACCGUGAGACAGGUGCUGCAUGGCUGUCGUCAGCUCGUGUUGUGAAAUGUUGGGUUAAGUCCCGCAACGAGCGCAACCCUUAUCCUUUGUUGCCAGCGGUCCGGCCGGGAACUCAAAGGAGACUGCCAGUGAUAAACUGGAGGAAGGUGGGGAUGACGUCAAGUCAUCAUGGCCCUUACGACCAGGGCUACACACGUGCUACAAUGGCGCAUACAAAGAGAAGCGACCUCGCGAGAGCAAGCGGACCUCAUAAAGUGCGUCGUAGUCCGGAUUGGAGUCUGCAACUCGACUCCAUGAAGUCGGAAUCGCUAGUAAUCGUGGAUCAGAAUGCCACGGUGAAUACGUUCCCGGGCCUUGUACACACCGCCCGUCACACCAUGGGAGUGGGUUGCAAAAGAAGUAGGUAGC